rnacentral:rRNA from 1 species
AUACGGAGGGUGCGAGCGUUAAUCGGAAUUACUGGGCGUAAAGCGCACGUAGGCGGUUUGUUAAGCCAGAUGUGAAAGCCCCGGGCUCAACCUGGGAAUUGCAUUUGGAACUGGCAAGCUAGAGUUUUGAAGAGGGUGGUAGAAUUUCCAGUGUAGCGGUGAAAUGCGUAGAGAUUGGAAGGAAUACCAGUGGCGAAGGCGGCCACCUGGUCAAAAACUGACGCUGAGGAGCGAAAGCGUGGGGAGCAAACAGGAUUAGAUACCCUGGUAGUCAACGCUGUAAACGAUGUCGACUAGCUGUUCGUGUUUUAAAAACGUGAGUAGCGCAGCUAACGCACUAAGUCGACCGCCUGGGGAGUACGGCCGCAAGGUUAAA